rnacentral:rRNA from 1 species
CGUCGUGGCUUUUCCCCAAGUGUCACACCCGUUCCCAUCCCGAACACGGCAGUUAAGACUUGGAGGGCCGAUGAUACUGCGCAUCACAUGCGUGGAAAAGUAGGUCGCUGCGACGU